rnacentral:antisense_RNA from 1 species
GUGCAUGCUGAUCCUGCAGCUCCUCAAGGGUGUCAUCGCUUUCCCCCUUCCCAGACCCAGCACACCCUUCCUGCACGGCGCUGUGCUGCACCUUCACUCUGGUCACGGGUCUGGCAGUCGGCUCACCAAUUCCUUCUGCUUUCCUGGGACUCGCCGGCUUUUAGCACUGCAAUUCACUCAGCAAACUGGGACUGUUGGUCACCCUACCUGGCAGCCAGUGAUAAGGUGAGGGCCACUCCUGGGAGGGAGGACACCUGUGGGGAAAAUUCUUGUGUUAUUUAUUUCUCCUUCGGGAUAGGGUGCCUGCAGCGCUUCAUGGGAGGGGGUGGGCUGAUGCUGCGGGCUCAGAAGUUUCAAGGACAUCUGGGGAGACCAGAUAUUCAGAGACCUCCUAGAUGUGCCUGUUCCAUGUAUCAGGGACGCAGGUUUUCCCAACAGGGCUUGUGUCAUUGGCAUGACAGACCUGCCUUGGCUGAGCAUUCACCUGUCUUUGGAGUUCAGCCACCUUAG